rnacentral:tRNA from 1 species
GGGCCGGUAGUUCAGCGGCACGAACGCCUGCCUCACGUGCAGGAAGUCAUGGGUUCAAACCCCAUCCGGCCCACCA